GACGAACGCUGGCGGCGUGCUUAACACAUGCAAGUCGAGCGGUAAGGCCCUUUCGGGGGUACACGAGCGGCGAACGGGUGAGUAACACGUGGGUGACCUGCCCUUAGCUCUGGGAUAAGCCUGGGAAACUGGGUCUAAUACCGGAUAUGACUCCAUGACGCAUGUUGUGGGGUGGAAAGCCUUGUGCGGCUAGGGAUGGGCCUGCGGCCUAUCAGCUUGUUGGUGGGGUGAUGGCCUACCAAGGCGACGACGGGUAGCCGGCCUGAGAGGGCGACCGGCCACACUGGGACUGAGACACGGCCCAGACUCCUACGGGAGGCAGCAGGU
rnacentral:rRNA from 1 species